rnacentral:rRNA from 1 species
AUGGACGUUAAGUCGGCAUUCCUCAACGGCGACUUGAAGGAGGAAGUCUACGUGCAUCAGCCACCUGGGUUUACGAUUCCCGGCCAGGAGGGCAAGGUGCUCCGCCUGCGCAAGGCUCUCUAUGGCCUGCGGCAGGCACCCAGGGCGUGGAACGCCAAGCUGGACUCCACGCUGAAGAAGAUGGGUUUCGAGCAGAGCCCGCAUGAGGCUGCCGUCUACCGACGGGGGAGUGGAGGAAAUGCCCUGCUGGUGGGCGUCUACGUUGACGACCUGGUGAUCACCGGCACCAAAGGUGCAGAGGUGGCGGCGUUCAAGGAAGACAUGAAGGCCACGUUCCAGAUGAGUGACCUGGGGCUCCUCUCCUUCUAUCUAGGGAUUGAGGUGCACCAGGACCACUCCGGGAUCGCGCUUCGACAGUCCGCCUACGCCAAGCGCAUCGUUGAGCUAGCUGGGCUCACCGACUGCCAUCCAGCUCUCACUCCGAUGGAGGAGAGGCUGAAACUGAGCCGCGACAGCACGACGGAGGAAGUGGAUGCUACGCAGUACCGACGCCUUGUGGGGAGCCUUCGCUACCUCACUCACACACGGCCGGACUUGGCAUUCUCCGUCGGCUAUGUCAGUCGGUUCAUGGAGCGACCAACGUCGGAACACCAGCAGGCAGUGAAGAGGAUCGUCCGCUACAUAGCAGGGACCCUCGACCACGGCCUCCACUACCCUAGGUGUCCUGGGGCGGCACACUUCGUCGGGUACAGCGACAGCGACCACGCCGGCGACAUCGACACCAGUAAGAGCACGAGCGGGAUCCUCCUCUUCCUCGGCAAGUGUCUCGUGAGCUGGCAAUCAGUCAAGCAGCAGGUGGUGGCCCUGUCCAGCUGUGAGGCUGAGUACAUAGCGGCCUCCACCGCCUGUACUCAGGCGCUCUGGCUUGCUCGACUGCUUGGUGAUCUUCUCGUUCAAGACACCAGAACGGUGCAGCUCCUGGUGGACAGCAAGUCCGCCCUGGCCCUGGCAAAGAACCCCGUGUUCCACGAACGGAGGAGCAUCGAGGCGAGCUACAUCAACACCAAGGAUCAGCUCGCAGACCUGCUCACCAAGCCCCUUGGGAGGGUCAAGUUCCUCGAACUUUGCUCCAGGAUUGGGAUG